AUUGAACGCUGGCGGCAUGCCUUACACAUGCAAGUCGAACGGCAGCACGGGGCAACCUGGUGGCGAGUGGCGAACGGGUGAGUAAUGCAUCGGAACGUACCUUUCAGUGGGGGAUAACGUAGCGAAAGUUACGCUAAUACCGCAUAUUCUGUGAGCAGGAAAGCAGGGGAUCGCAAGACCUUGCGCUGAUUGAGCGGCCGAUGUCAGAUUAGCUAGUUGGUGAGGUAAAGGCUCACCAAGGCGACGAUCUGUAGCGGGUCUGAGAGGAUGAUCCGCCACACUGGGACAGAGACACGGUCCAGACUACUACGGGAGGCAGCGCUGGGGAAUUUUAGACGAUGGGGGAGACCCUGAUCCAGCCAUGCCGCGUGAGGGAAGAAGGCCUUCGGGUUGUAAAGCUCUUUCGGACGGGAAGAAAUCGCACGGGCUAAUACCCUGUGUGGAUGACGGUACCGGAAUAAGAAGCACCGGCUAACUACGGGCCAGCCGCCGCAGUAACAC
rnacentral:rRNA from 1 species